rnacentral:rRNA from 1 species
CAAAUCAUUAGUUUUUUAAUUGUUAACUUGUAUGAAUGGUUUGACGAAACAUUUACUGUCUCUUUUUUAUUUUUUGAAUUUAAAUUUUGAGUUAAAAUGCUUAAAUUUUAUUAUUGGACGAGAAGACCCUAUAGAUCUUUAUUUUUUAUUAUAUUAUUCUUUUUGGUUUAUUUAUAUUAAUUUUAUGAUUUAUUUCGUUGGGGUGACUUGAAGAUAUAUUUAACUCUUUAUUUUUUUUUACAGUUAUUUUUGUAUUUUUGACCUUUUAUUAUUGUUAUAAGAUAUAGAUACCUUAGGGAUAACAGCGUAAUUUUUUUUGAGAGUUCAUAUUGACAAUAAAGAUUGCGACCUCGAUGUUGGAUUAAGAUUAUAUUUAGGUGCAGUAGCUUAUAAGUGUAGGUCUGUUCGACCUUUAAAAUCUUACAUGAUCUGAG